UGACAGUCACUGAUGCCUCCACCCUGUGUUAUGUCAGUGAGUGAGACAAGUGACUGUUUGA
rnacentral:pre_miRNA from 1 species